UCCAGGAGCAGACACGGAUGGGGGGGACAGGAAGUGGGGCCAGCUCAAGGUGGUGAAGGACAACUGACUCAGGUGAAUAAUUCCCAAGAAGCCCUUCUCUCCGUCAGGUCCCACUUUGUACCUCGGUCCACACACCAGACACCACUUGGCUGCUGUCACCACGGGUGCGUGGGGAAGGGAGCUCCAAGUUUCGAAGGGGUGGCAGGUGACAGAGUUGACAAGUAUAACAUGGUGUGAUGCCUGCUAUUGCGGGCUCCAGGAGCGCUGAGGAUGGGUGUUUAACCCUUAAAGGUCGGAUGGAGAGAUGGCUUUCUGGAUGGGAGCAGCAGUCUGAGCUCUGGGCAGCAAGAAGGGAAGCCGCUGCAGCUACAUCUAGGAAGGUUACAGAGCAGGAACACAGCAUCUGUCAUCCCAGUGGGAGGCUGGACCCAGGAAACUGACAAGACUCCCAGCAUGCUCUGCAGCCCCUCCUCCCUGUCAAACCCACAACCAGGUGGAAUUCCCGAGUGCCCCGUGGGCUGCCGGAGAGCCCACCCUUCCAACGGGGAUCCCAGCCACAGAGAAUGCCCAUCGACACCCAUCCAGAUUCAAAGCAGUGGGAGGCGAGGAGAGGGCACAUGAGAAAUAAUAAAAGCAGAGGAGACCCAAGCAAGUAAGAGCUAGAGGAAUCCCUCCUUUCUCUCUCAUAUUAGUCUUCGGAUUGAAGUGCAUAAAACUUUUUGAGUAAGUAAAAUAUCCAACAUAGUUCAAAAUGAACAUAUAAAAACGUUUACGGAGAAAAAGCUCACUCUCCCUUCAUCCCUUCCACUCCCCCCGCAACCCCCACCAAGCAUCCAUUCGUACUUUCUGGUGGAUUCUUCCAG
rnacentral:lncRNA from 10 species